UCUUUACGAACCUCCUAAUCUGAUACCCAAUAAGGGAGAUGGGUAUCAUAAUCAAACUUAUGAAAUCAAUUUUUUCUCCCCAAAAUAUCCUCACAUAAUUAUAAUAUUUUCAAAUUACUCAACCCUAGAAGCAAACAUUCUAGCUUCCUUUCUAAUAUGGGUAUUUUAGUAAUCAAACUAGUUUUAAUUCCGAUUUCAUAUAGUAAGUAAACAACAUCAUUCGUAAUUAAUUUCAUUAAUCCCUCUUUUGAUUCUUAAUGGUAAGUAAACAAUAGAAUGAAAUGAAAUAUUCUCAUACCGAUUCUUGUAGAUACCUAGUGUCGGCCCUGAGCAUAGACCUAGCAGGUGUGCUGGCCUAGAGCCCCAACUUUUAUGGGCCCAAAAAAAAUAUUGCCUCUUCUUAUAUAUAAUGAAAAAAAAAUUAUACACCAGUUCUCUUUUUCCAAAAAAGACUCACGUUUCGUCUUCUCAUCCAUAUAUAAUUAUAUUGCGCAAUUGCUGCAAAUUGUUUAUCAGAAAUCGAUUCCUUAUGAACCCCCUAAUCUGAUACCCAAGAGGGGAGAUGGGUAUCAUAAUCAAACUUAAGAAAUCAAUUUUUUCUCCCCAAAAUAUCCUCACAUAAUUAUAAUAUUUUCAAAUUACCCAACCCUAGAAGCAAACAUUCUAGCUUCCUUUCUUAUAUGAGUAUUUUAGUAAUCAAACUAGUUUUAAUUCCGAUUUCAUAUGGUAAGUAAACAACAUCAUUCGUAAGUAAUUUCAUUCCUCUUUUGAUUCUUUAUGGUAAGUAAACAGUAAAAUAAAAUAAAAUAUUCACAUAUCGAUUCUUGUUGAUACCUAGGGCCGGUCCUAAGCAUAGGCCCAACAAGCGUUGGCCUAGAGCCCCCAACUUUUAUGGGCCCAAAAAAAAAUAAUUGCCUCUUCUUAUAUAUAAUGAAAAAAAAAAUUAAUACACCAGUUCUUUUUUUUUCUUAGAAAAGACUCACGUUUCGUCUUCUCAUCCAUAAUUCUAUUACGCAAUUGCGGCAAAUCAGCCAGGCUUCUCAGAGUCUCUCGUUCCCUUUUUUCUUUUUGGUUUCAGACUUUCUCUUCUCCUUGAGUCCUUGUUCAUAUUACCAGGUAUU
rnacentral:lncRNA from 1 species